rnacentral:rRNA from 1 species
AAAGUGAAACUGCGAAUGGCUCAUUAAAUCAGCUAUUAUUUAUUGGAUGCGCAGCUAUUCUACAUGGAUAACUGUGGUAAUUCUAGAGCUAAUACAUGCCCUGGUUAACUAGCCUUCACGGGUUAGUUGCAAUUAUUAGACCAAAAUCAACCGCCUCUCACGGGGUGUUGUACUUGGUGACUCUGGAUAAUUUUACAGAUCGUACGGCCUUAGCGUCGACGACUCAUCCAAUAGAUAUCUGCCCUAUCAACUUUAGAUGGUAGGUUAAUAGCCUACCAUGGUGAUAACGGGUAACGGGGAAUCAGGGUUCGAUUCCGGAGAGGGAGCCUGAGAAACAGCUACCACAUCCAAGGAAGGCAGCAGGCGCGCAAAUUACCCACUCUCGACACGAGGAGGUAGUGACAAUAAAUAACGAUGCGGGACUCAAUCGAGGCCCCGUAAUCGGAAUGAGUACACUUUAAAUCCUUUAACGAGGAUCAAUUGGAGGGCAAGUCUGGUGCCAGCAGCCGCGGUAAUCCAGCUCCAAUAGCAUAUAU